rnacentral:rRNA from 1 species
UAAGCAUAUCAAUAAGCGGAGGAAAAGAAACUAACAAGGAUUCCCCUAGUAACGGCGAGUGAAGCGGGAAGAGCUCAAGCUUAAAAUCUCCGUGCAAGUUUUGCGCGGCGAAUUGUAGUCUAUAGAGGCGUGGUCAGCGUGGGCGCUUGGGGCAAGUUCCUUGGAAGAGGACAGCAUGGAGGGUGAUACUCCCGUUCAUCCCUGAGUGGCUCGUGCGUACGACCCGUGUUCUUUGAGUCGCGUUGUUUGGGAAUGCAGCGCAAAGUAGGUGGUAAAUUCCAUCUAAAGCUAAAUAUUGGUGCGAGACCGAUAGCGAACAAGUACCGUGAGGGAAAGAUGAAAAGAACUUUGAAAAGAGAGUUAAAGAGUACCUGAAACUGCUGAAAGGGAACCGAAUCGUUUCCAGUGUCUAUAAUCCGUGGCAUAUUUCAUUGGCGAGUGUGCGCGUGCGUGUGCUGCGGCAGUGGCUUUUUUGGCUGCGCUCGGUGUGUGUGCUGUGUGUGCUUGCUGGUGCCCUGUGCUGCGGUGGGACGUCAAGGUCAGUUCGUAUGCUGCGGGAAAUGGCUGCCGAGGAGGUAGGGCUUACGCUCCGCGUUUGUCUGUUAUAUCUUGGUGGACGAGUCGUCGCGGUUGGGACUGAGGUGCCUACAACGUGCUUUUGAGUGGGUUUGUGUCUCCGUGUGCGCCGUGUGCGGAUAGCUUGCUAUGCGUGUGUGGUUGUGUGUGGAUUGAUGCGGGCUUUAACUUGUCGCCGUUCGGGACGUUGACGAAAUGGAGCGAUCCGACCCGUCUUGAAACACGGACCAAGGAGUCUAACAUGUGUGCAAGUGUUAGGGUGUGGAAACCCCAGCGCGAAAUGAAAGUGAAGGGCAGCGCAAGUUGUCUGAGGUAGGAAACGUUGCGGGCUUCGGUCUGCGGCGUGGCACUAUCGACCGAUCAUGAACCUUCGUGGUGAAAGAUUUGAGUUUGAGCACAUAUGUUGGUACCCGAAAGAUGGUGAACUAUGCCUGAGUAGGGUGAAGCCAGGGGAAACUCUGGUGGAAGCUCGUAGCGAUUCUGACGUGCAAAUCGAUCGUCAAACUUGGGUAUAGGGGCGAAAGACUAAUCGAACCAUCUAGUAGCUGGUUCCCUCCGAAAUUUCCCUCAGGAUAGCAGCAACUUAUUUACGAUAGUUUUAUGAGGUAAAGCGAAUGAUUAGAGGAUUCGGGGAAGAAACUUCCUCGACCUAUUCUCAAACUUUAAAUCUGUAAGACCUGCAGGUUUCUUAAUUGAACUUGUGGAUGUGAAUAUCAAGUUGCUAGUGGGCCAUACGGGGUAAGCUCGUCUGGCG